GGAGAGGUGUCCGAGUUGGCCGAAGGAGCACGCCUGGAAAGUGUGUACAGGUAACCCCUGUCCAGGGUUCGAAUCCCUGCCUCUCCGCCA
rnacentral:tRNA from 1 species